CUAAGGUUCGGAGUAUCAGUCAACCGAGCAAUUUCACCCGCUCGGUAGGAGAUAUUCCCUUUGUCUU
rnacentral:pre_miRNA from 1 species